rnacentral:rRNA from 1 species
CCUACGGGCGGCAGCAGUGAGGAAUAUUGGUCAAUGGGCGGAAGGCUGAACCAGCCAAGCCGCGUGAAGGAUGAAGGCCCUACGGGUUGUAAACCUCUUUUGCCGGGGAGCAACGGGCGCCACGUGUGGCGCCACUGAGAGUACCCGGAGAAAAAGCAUCGGCUAACUCCGUGCCAGCAGCCGCGGUAAUACGGAGGAUGCGAGCGUUAUCCGGAUUUAUUGGGUUUAAAGGGUGCGUAGGCGGGCCUUUAAGUCAGUGGUAAAAUUGAGGGGCUCAACCCCUUCCCGCCAUUGAAACUGGCGGCCUUGAGUGGAAGAGAAGUAGGCGGAAUGCGUGGUGUAGCGGUGAAAUGCAUAGAUAUCACGCAGAACCCCGAUUGCGAAGGCAGCAUGCCGGCUUCCGACUGACGCUGAAGCACGAAAGCGUGGGGAUCGAACAGGAUUAGAUACCCCAGUAGUC